UACGGGGGGAGCAAGCGUUGUUCGGAUUUACUGGGCGUAAAGGGCGCGUAGGCGGCGCAACAAGUCACUUGUGAAAUCUCCGGGCUUAACCCGGAGCGGUCAAGUGAUACUGUCGUGCUAGAGUGCGGAAGGGGCUACUGGAAUUCUCGGUGUAGCGGUGAAAUGCGUAGAUAUCGAGAGGAACACCUGCGGCGAAGGCGGGUUGCUGGGCCGACACGUGACGCUGGAGGCGACGAAAGCGUGGGGAGCAAACAGG
rnacentral:rRNA from 1 species